GGCAGCGAACAAGUUAUAUUAAAACUUCAGGUUCUGAAGUCUUCUAUUCUUAGUGUUUGAUCCUCAGGUGUCUGCAGGAGGACCGGAGUCUCAGCGCUUCGUGGGACCUGCAGAGGACAGCGUGGUCGAGAUGUGUUGUUGGCUCAGUCACAAGUUUAUAAAUAAAACACACAAACACACUGUGACUCUGUGUCUCUUUAUUCUAAUCAGACCCUCCUCCUCCUGUGUCUCUCUCAGGUAGAAGUUCAUCUGCUUCAUGAUGUUGAGUUUAGUUCCUGGUUGAAGUAGUCGUUAAGUUUAGAGUCUGAAAUUAUUAUUUCACCUUUUCACUGAGUGUUCAGAGAGUUAAGUCAUGAGUGAAAACCUUUCAGAAACAGGAUCCCCCUGUGUGUCCACAUGGCUCAGUGGAUAAGAAGACUGACUGGGACUCCUGAGGUCGUGGGUACGAACCUUAUCCAGGAGGUCUAAUUGAAUUUUAAUGUCUAGAGUCUACAAAUGAGAGUGUAGGAUGAAACAAACAGGAUCGUCUUCUUUGACCACAUGGCUCAGAGGAUAAGAAGACUGACUAGGACACUAGUUGAAUUUUUAAGUCCAGGAGCUAAAUGACGAAGAUAAACGCGCGCGGAGCUCAUGUCAAAGUGUGGAUGAUAUCUUGUAGCGCAGUGCGGUAGUCUACCGGCACCCAACGUGGGUACCCCGGUUCGAUUCCCACUCAGGACAGGAAGUUUAAAGUGAUGAAAUGAUGAUAAUAAAUAGAGAAUACUACUUGUAACAAGUAGAGAAUUCUUCUCUAGCAAGAAGAAGUACAUUCAUCACUUCUGAUGAUGACAAACAAUAAUAAUAAUCAUCAAUUCUAAUGAUGAUAAUCUGAUCAUCG